GGUCUCGUGGCCUAACGGAUAAGGUAUUGAUCUUCGGGACCACAGACUGUGGGUUCGAGUCCCACCGAGAUCG
rnacentral:tRNA from 1 species